UGGAGAGUUUGAUCCUGGCUCAGGACGAACGCUGGCGGCGUGCUUAACACAUGCAAGUCGAACGGAAAGGUCUCUUCGGAGACACUCGAGUGGCGAACGGGUGAGUAACACGUGGGCAAUCUGCCCUGCACACCGGGAUAAGCCUGGGAAACUGGGUCUAAUACCGGAUAGGACCACUUGGCGCAUGCCUUGUGGUGGAAAGCUUUUGCGGUGUGGGAUGGGCCCGCGGCCUAUCAGCUUGUUGGUGGGGUGACGGCCUACCAAGGCGACGACGGGUAGCCGGCCUGAGAGGGUGUCCGGCCACACUGGGACUGAGAUACGGCCCAGACUCCUACGGGAGGCAGCAGUGGGGAAUAUUGCACAAUGGGCGCAAGCCUGAUGCAGCGACGCCGCGUGGGGGAUGACGGCCUUCGGGUUGUAAACCUCUUUCACCAUCGACGAAGGUCCGGGUUCUCUCGGAUUGACGGUAGGUGGAGAAGAAGCACCGGCCGACUNCGUGCCAGCAGCCGCGGUA
rnacentral:rRNA from 1 species